GCUCUGUCCUGUGGCCUGGCGCAGGAAAGGUCCAGGCUGCAGCUGUGACUCCCGCGGGUGAACCACAGCUCCACAGCCCCAAAUCCAAAUGCAGCGACCCUGCCCCCAGGCCAUCCAAGUGUGAAUAUUACCAGGUGCCAGCAGGGAAAGGACUCCACUGCCUGACGCCUCUCCCACCUGAGAGCGCAGAGGUAGGGAGAUCACAGUGCCUGAGAGGUUUUCCUCCACGGAGAAAUCGGAGACCUCAACCUGCUGCCCUCUAAAGCAGCUUUCUGUAUCCAGACAAAACUUACAUAUGUACACGUUGUUUUAAAACGACAUACUCAUGUGACAUACAUGUAUAUAAAUUCAUGUUUAUAUAUGACAAUUGAGCAGAGUUAAAGAACAAGAUAAUUCUGGAUGGAAAAAUCAGUUUGCCUGGGCAUCUGUAAGCCUUUGGGCAAGUGAAUUCCCUGUUCUCUUCCUCAGUUUACCCUUUGGUGACCUCCACUGUGGCUGCAGACUUCAGGUGGUCCUCACGCAUUCACAGAACCG
rnacentral:antisense_RNA from 1 species